UCAGAGGAAUUUGUCUAUGUAUAUCGUCAUUACCCGUUCAUUCUCACUUUUUUUCAUUUUCUAUACCACCGUCUUAAGAUAAAAUUUCAAGGUUUUAUCUUAAACUCUUUUGAUAAGUCAGGUCAAGGUGGAGAUUAUAAAAAAGUUUAGAUUAAUUAUUAAUAAAUAAUAUUUAAGGUUGGGUUUCUAAAGAAAUCCUAAAUGAAGAUUUGAAAGUAGUUUUUUAUUAAAUUUAUAAUACGAAUUUGCUUUAGGUGUACAUAUUGCCCGUCACCCUCGUCUAAAGAUGAGGUAAGUCGUAACAUAGUUAGUGUACUGGAAAGUGUACUAAGGGGAUUUAAAAGCUUUAGCGUUUCAUUUACACAGAAAAGAUUAGUUUUCAAGUUCUUUCGUUUCUUCUUUAAUUAAAUUAAUAUAAUUAACCUUUCUUUUCUUAUCUUUUUUUAUAACCGUAAGGGAAUAUUUAUUGUUAUUAAGAAAUUUUUCUAUUUACCUUUUGUAUCAGGGUGAUUCAAUCUUUACUUUAAAAAAUACUCUCCCGAAAUAAAAUGAGCUACUCUUCUUUUUAUAUUUUGUAGCAAAAAGAUAAUAAAAGUUUAGUAGAAGUGAAAUUCCACUCGUAUUUUUUUAUAUCUGGUUUUUUCAUAAAGUAUUAUUACUAAAACCUAAAAAGGGAUAAUCUUUCUUAGAAAUUUUCUUCUUCCCCUAAUUUAUUUUCAUAGGAUUAGUAGUGUCAUUUUGUGUAAAAACUUUUCUUCUUUUAUUAAAUGAAUUAUAUUAUGAAAUUUUUAUCUUUUUAUAAAAAUAAUGAUUCAAUCAGUAAAGAUCUUUUAAAACUCUUUUAUUAAAUUUUUCUAAAUGUUAAUUUUAACUUUUUUUCAUAAACUUGGCUGAGUUAUCUGACUGUUUACCAAAAACAUUUCUGAAUGAAAAUUUUAUUCAGUAAGACCUGCUCAAUGAAUUUUCAAUAGCCGCAAUUCAGUGCUAAGGUAGCAUAAUCAUUUGCCUUGUAAUUUAAGGCUGGCAUGAAAGGUUUAACAUGAUGACUCCUUUAUUAAUAAAAAUUCUUAAAUUUUACUUAUAAGUAAAAAGGCUUAUAUUCUUUAGGGGGACGACAAGACCCUGACGAGCUUAACUUAUCAGUUGCACUGGGGUGGUAAAAAACUAUAUCUUUUUAAAACAUUCUCUUUUAACCUUAUUAUAAGAUUUUUCAAGUUACCGCAGGGAUAACAGCAUAAUUUUUUUCUAGAGACCUUAUCUAAAAAAAAGAUUGUGACCUCGAUGUUGA
rnacentral:rRNA from 1 species